GUGCCAGCAGCCGCGGUAAUACGUACUGGGCGAACGUUAUCCUGAAUUACUGGGUUUAAAGGGUGCGUAGGCGGCUUUAUAAGUCAGAGGUGAAAGCCCGCAGCUUAACUGUGGAAUUGCCUUUGAUACUGUAGAGCUUGAAACAGGUUGAGGUUGGCGGAAUGUGACAUGUAGCGGUGAAAUGCAUAGAUAUGUCAUAGAACACCAAUUGCGAAGGCAGCUGACUGGACCUAGUUUGACGCUGAGGCACGAAAGCGUGGGGAGCGAACAGGAUUAGAUACCCUGGUAGUCCACGCCCUAAACGAUGCUUACUCGAUAUUCGUCCUUCGGGAUGAGUGUCCAAGCGAAAGCGAUAAGUAAGCCACCUGGGGAGUACGCCCGCAAGGGUGAAACUCAAAGGAAUUGACGGGG
rnacentral:rRNA from 1 species